GAUGAACGCUGGCGGCGUGCCUAAUACAUGCAAGUCGAGCGAACGGACGAGAAGCUUGCUUCUCUGAUGUUAGCGGCGGACGGGUGAGUAACACGUGGAUAACCUACCUAUAAGACUGGGAUAACUUCGGGAAACCGGAGCUAAUACCGGAUAAUAUUUUGAACCGCAUGGUUCAAAAGUGAAAGACGGUCUUGCUGUCACUUAUAGAUGGAUCCGCGCUUCAUUAGCUAGUUGGUAAGUUAACGGCUUACCAAGGCAACGAUGCAUAGCCGACCUGAGAGGGGGAUCGGCCACAUUGGAACUGAGACACGGUCCAGACUCCUACGGGAGGAAGCAGUAGGGAAUCUUCCGCAAUGGGCGAAAGCCUGACGGAGCAACGCCGCGUGAGUGAUGAAGGUCUUCGGAUCGUAAAACUCUGUUAUUAGGGAAGAACAUAUGUGUAAGUAACUGUACACAUCUUGACGGUACCUAAUCAGAAAGCCACGGCUAACUACGUG
rnacentral:rRNA from 1 species